AGUAAAGAAGCGAAGCUAAGCGGCGCUGGUGAAGCGGCUCAUCAGGUCUAUCAGGAAACCUGAGAAUUGGAGUGAGAAUCCCAGUGUGGAAAAUCAGGAAAGAGGCUGGUAUGAGCGACAGAGAAGUCAUUCAGGAAAGAGGUUAUUGAAUUCAUUGGAGAAUGAAUGCUGUUCUGAAUUUGUAUCCUAAGGGAAAUACCACAAAAUGUCUCAGAAAAUGUUGGUUGGAUAUCUAAAGUUUAAAAAGGAAGAGAACCACACCAGCUGGAGAUUAAAGAAGCAUCAGUAGAAUAUCUUAAGGGAAAUACUACAAAAUGUCGCAGAAGGUGCUGGAUGGAUAUCUAAAGUUCAAAAAGGAAGAGAACCACACGAGCUGGAGAUUCAGGAAGCAUCAGUAGAAGUCAAUGGCCAUUAAUAAAAACAUUUUUUAUUAAAAUAUUGAAUCUGAAUAGAA
rnacentral:lncRNA from 1 species